UGUUAACACAAUACAAAGCCUUCCUCUC
rnacentral:piRNA from 1 species